rnacentral:piRNA from 1 species
GUUAUUGUUUGUGUGCUUUCCCCUCU